rnacentral:rRNA from 1 species
UCAUCCUCCGUCAUAUUGUCAUAGUUGCCGUACUUAUGGUAGGCGGCACCGAUGCUCUUUGCACUGUAAUCCGCCUCAUUCUCCAGAUCGCUGAAGGAGAGUGUGCCGGUAGAGAGUUUGUUCUUGUCCGCUGUUGCCUUACUUGCGAUGAGUGCGCCCUUCAGAUCGGUAUUCUUCCCGACCAAGAGAUCAAAGCCGCCGCUUCCUGCAAAGAUACCCGCCUGAUCUCUUGCACUCCUGUAGUGGGAGGAGAUGUUUCCCUUGCUGAAGGAGCCUCCGAUAUUGGGCAUGGAGAAUUUGCGGUAGACGUUCUUAGAGUCCGGUGUAGCCAGUUGUUUGGUCUUUCCAUCAAAGAGGUUGACAUUCCAAGAGAUGCCAAAGCCCGCAGAGGUAUUCUGCUCCUCAUAGGUCUCUUUCUCCUGGAGGGUCUCAAUAUUGAGGUUCCCGCCGACUCUUGCCG